rnacentral:rRNA from 1 species
AGACCCGAAACCCGGUGAUCUAGCCAUGGGCAGGUUGAAGGUUGGGUAACACUAACUGGAGGACCGAACCGACUAAUGUUGAAAAAUUAGCGGAUGACCUGUGGCUGGGGGUGAAAGGCCAAUCAAACCGGGAGAUAGCUGGUUCUCCCCGAAAGCUAUUUAGGUAGCGCCUCGUGAAUUCAUCUCCGGGGGUAGAGCACUGUUUCGGCUAGGGGGCCAUCCCGGCUUACCAACCCGAUGCAAACUGCGAAUACCGGAGAAUGUUAUCACGGGAGACACACGGCGGGUGCUAACGUCCGUCGUGAAGAGGGAAACAACCCAGACCGCCAGCUAAGGUCCCAAAGUCAUGGUUAAGUGGGAAACGAUGUGGGAAGGCCCAGACAGCCAGGAUGUUGGCUUAGAAGCAGCCAUCAUUUAAAGAAAGCGUAAUAGCUCACUGGUCGAGUCGGCCUGCGCGGAAGAUGUAACGGGGCUAAACCAUGCACCGAAGCUGCGGCAGCGACACUGUGUGUUGUUGGGUAGGGGAGCGUUCUGUAAGCCUGUGAAGGUGUGUCGUGAGGCAUGCUGGAGGUAUCAGAAGUGCGAAUGCUGACAUAAGUAACGAUAAAGCGGGUGAAAAGCCCGCUCGCCGGAAGACCAAGGGUUCCUGUCCAACGUUAAUCGGGGCAGGGUGAGUCGACCCCUAAGGCGAGGCCGAAAGGCGUAGUCGAUGGGAAACGGGUUAAUAUUCCCGUACUUGGUGUUACUGCGAAGGGGGGACGGAGAAGGCUAUGUUGGCCGGGCGACGGUUGUCCCGGUUUAAGCGUGUAGGUGUGUGUUCCAGGUAAAUCCGGUUCACUUUAACACUGAGGCGUGACGACGAGGCACUACGGUGCUGAAGCAACAAAUGCCCUGCUUCCAGGAAAAGCCUCUAAGCAUCAGGUAACAUCAAAUCGUACCCCAAACCGACACAGGUGGUCAGGUAGAGAAUACCAAGGCGCUUGAGAGAACUCGGGUGAAGGAACUAGGCAAAAUGGUGCCGUAACUUCGGGAGAAGGCACGCUGACACGUAGGUGAAGUGAUUUACUCAUGGAGCUGAAGUCAGUCGAAGAUACCAGCUGGCUGCAACUGUUUAUUAAAAACACAGCACUGUGCAAACACGAAAGUGGACGUAUACGGUGUGACGCCUGCCCGGUGCCGGAAGGUUAAUUGAUGGGGUCAGCGCAAGCGAAGCUCCUGAUCGAAGCCCCGGUAAACGGCGGCCGUAACUAUAACGGUCCUAAGGUAGCGAAAUUCCUUGUCGGGUAAGUUCCGACCUGCACGAAUGGCGUAAUGAUGGCCAGGCUGUCUCCACCCGAGACUCAGUGAAAUUGAACUCGCUGUGAAGAUGCAGUGUACCCGCGGCAAGACGGAAAGACCCCGUGAACCUUUACUAUAGCUUGACACUGAACAUUGAGCCUUGAUGUGUAGGAUAGGUGGGAGGCUUUGAAGUGUGGACGCCAGUCUGCAUGGAGCCGACCUUGAAAUACCACCCUUUAA